rnacentral:tRNA from 1 species
GUAGCUCAGUGGUAGAGUGCUUGCCUUGCAUGCACGAGGCCCUGGGUUCAAUUCCUCAGC